rnacentral:rRNA from 1 species
UACGGGGGGGUAAGCGUUGUUCGGAAUUACUGGGCGUAAAGGGCUCGUAGGUGGCCAACUAAGUCAGACGUGAAAUCCCUCAGCUUAACUGGGGAACUGCGUCUGAUACUGGAUGGCUUGAGUUUGGGAGAGGGAUGCGGAAUUCCAGGUGUAGCGGUGAAAUGCGUAGAUAUCUGGAGGAACACCGGUGGCGAAGGCGGCAUCCUGGACCAACACUGACACUGAGGAGCGAAAGCCAGGGGAGCAAACGGG